CUUCUCUCUGAGUGGGGACGGGGUGUCAUGGCCAUCAUCUUCAUAAAGAUAACAAAGGGACUAGCACUGCCCUGAUACCCUCACUAUGCACUUUUCCUUUGCUUAAAACUGUGAGGAACUUUCACUUGGGCUCGGAGAGUGCAGACGGAACGCAAGAUGCCCGCUUUCUGUCAGCAGAUGGACGCUUCGAGAGAUUUUGACGCCCUUGCAUGAGACUCGUUUUCCUUAAGGUGGUUGUUUCUCAGUCUGCUUGAGAACGCCACCACGCAAGCUUUAACCGUAAAUGGAUAAGGGACGUUUCAGACACAUUAGGACUUGGGGAAAAAUCCUUGGAAUUUUCCCAUGGAGGAUUUUCACUGAGCAAUGUUGAUAUUUAAGACUAUACCAAACUUGGUUACAAUGUGGAGAUUCAGAACAGAUUCACUCAACAGUGUUCUCCGUUAUGUAAAAAGGAUUCAACUGCUCGGUCCAGGGUGCUAGCCAACGCAAAUUUUUUUUUUUUUUUUGUGGACUGGAAUUGAUUAUUUCGUUGAUGACUGAAAAAUACUUAAAAAAAAAAAAAGACUGGAGGACAGUUUUUUUUGUGUUGGAGAUAAAGAGCCAAUAAGCUCCAUCAGCUUUAUCGCCACCUGCUGACUGCAUGGCUGAAGUUCACCUUUGGCUUGAAGUGGUUACUGUGCUGCAAGACCGUCUGUUUGAUCUUUGCUGUACCAGAUCUUCUGAUGAAGACGGAGGCUCUCCAGUGCUUCGUGUUGCAUCUCCACCUCCCCUUAAUUCCUGUCCUCAUCCUUCAGAGAAAGAUCCCAAGGUCAGGAAUUUCAAACAGCACGUGAAAUGAUGACUGCAUGACAAGAACUAAAAGCCCCGGAAGAAGUGGAGGCCUGCAGUUUCAAUGCACCAUAUUCGGACUACUCGGAGGAACGUGUUUCCUUGCUAGGAGGAGGGAGUGAACUGUGAAUGCUGGAACAGCGAACUAUGAGAUCUAGAACCUGCAUAGAAUAGUUCUGCUCGAGUGCAGCCAGGGUCAAACACUGCACACACAUUAAUAACUGAAAUACACCUGCAUACACACACGUCCAAAAAAUGAAUUGUUGAUCACACACACACACACACAUACACACUCGCUGACAUGGCUUAACACAGUUCUACUACACUUCAUCUCUGGCUGCCAUGUAAACAAUGUAUAUAACCCUAACCCUUUUCCCUUUCUCUGUUGGGUUUCAGUUUUGUUUGAUUUUUUUUCUUUUCUUCUCUUUUAUGACAUGCCUUAACAGUUCAGUUUUGCCUGUUAAGGCACACUUAAGAUGAGUAAAACAAACAAAAAAAGUGUUAACAGUCAGCGAGACUAGCUCUGUGACAUAAUAGCGUGUGAUUUUAUUUAAGAAACCCUUGAAACAUUAUGAACCUGCGAAAUUAUUUAUAUAACAUUACAAAUGAUCCCCACAAAAGACGUGUAAUUAAUUCGUGGUUGUAACUGGGCAAGUAUGAUGAUACACCCUAAUGUU